CCUGCCCGCCCACAGGCGCCCAGCACUCGCAGCCCGGGCCAGCCCCCGAGCGGCCCCGGGGCGGAGCUGGCGGCGCCGGGCGGCGGCGGCGGGGAGGAGGCGCCGCGGGCGGAGCAGAGCCGGGGCUGGCGGGGGCAGCGCGGCGCGGGCGGCGGAGCGGCGGGAUGCGGCAGGGCCGGGCCGCAGGGCUGGCGGCGCUGGCCGCGGUGCUCCUGGUGGCUGUGUGCAGAGCCCAGGUGCAGCAGGAGCCGUGGGCAGAGACCAGGGAGGGCACCGGCAUCAACAUCACCUGCUCACACCCCAACAUGCAGACUGGUGACUACAUCCACUGGUACCGCCAUCUCCCGGGCCAAGGACCUACAUUCCUAGUGUUCGAAACCACGGGGCAGGUGUCCGUCACCCAGGAAGAAGGACAAGUCUCCGUGAAGCAGGGAAACACCUUCCAGACCAAUUGCACAUAUGAAACCUCCAGAUUUUAUGGCUUGCUCUGGUACGAGCAGAAGAAGGGACAAGCCCCUCAACUGAUUUCUUAUCAAGCAGGAGCAGGCACCAAGCAGAGGGACCGUUUCACCACGGAGCUGAACACUGAGGAGAAAUCCAGUGUUCUGCGUCUGAAGGAAGUCAAGCUUUCUGACAGCGCCUUGUACCUCUGUGCUGUGAGUGACACCCUGGUGCAGGAAGCUGCCCUGGCUGUGCAACAACACCGGUGAGGGAAAGGAUGUAUCUGUGCAAGGCAUAGGUCUGUGAUGGGGCCCUCAGCUCUCCCCUUGCAGCACUGUUUCACAUGUUCACUCCAUGACCUGCCAGCCAGAUCCUCUUUCCCAGACAGGCUGGUGUAUGUGGCUGUGUGGAGAUUGCUGAUCCUGACUGGGUGACAUGGACCACAUGGUCCUUUCCUCCCUUCGCAGGCUGCCGGAAUAGGACAGAGCCUGCUGGGAAACAGAACUCCCCUGGGGGAUUGCUCUCAGCCCCUCAGCCCCAGGUUGAGUAAAUUCCUGCCAGCCCAUGAUAAAGCUGCUUGCUUCAAGCCCUGUCCAGCCCAGCCCAGAGACCCCUAGAAGUAACUCUGACAGAGAUUUGCAGGGUUCUUCCCUCUCUUCAAUGAGUCAGUCAAUAAAGUGCAUUUGCACCCCAGCCACCAGGUUAUCUCCAGACCUUCAGCCAGUUCAUGUCCAAAGCCUGGACCAAAGAACAGGACCUUUGGGACUGAAUACCUUCUUCUGAGCUUAACAGACCAUUGUGGCUGGCACAUCAUCCUCUUUGUCAUUAUCUUCUCCUCAUCUCUGAAGGCGAUGGGGAAUGGCCUCCGUUUGUCACUGUGGGGAGUGACCACCACCCGCUGAAUACCCCAAUUCACUUUUUACUCAGCACGCUCACCUUCUUGGAGAACUUGUACUCCACCACCAUUGCUCCCCAAACACUGGAGACUUUCCAUGUCAUCAGGUGAACCAUUUGUGUUUCCAGCUGCCUGGCAUAUAUAUUUUUUCCCCUUCUCCAGGGUAUCACUGAGUUUCUCAUUUUCACAAUGUUGCUCUCUGAUUGCCACACACGAGGCAUUGCAUUAUACCUCAGUCAUGAGAAAGAAACUCUGCUUCCUGCUCUCCUUCAGAGCAUGGGUGCAGAGGGGGUACCAGGAACACCAUUGCCUGUUUCUGCUCUGGUGCUGGGCCUCUUCUGAGCCUGGCCUGUGGGGCUAUAAUGCUGAGCAAGAUCCUUGACUGUAUCCACACACUUUCCCUGUUCCCUUGUUUUUCACUCACCACAAGGCAUUUCCUGCUUAUGCCUCCCACCCCAUCACGGUUCCCAUUCUCUAAGUACAUAUCUGUCAAUAUAUAUACUUUACUAAGCAGUGCAUGGCAAGUGAGUUUGGGCACUGGAAAAGGCUCCCCAUGGAAGUGAUCACAGCAACAAGCCUGCUGGGGUUCAAGAAGCAUUCGGACAACACUUGAGGACAUGUGGUUUCAUUUGCAGGUAAUCCUGCAUGAAGUUAGAGAUGGACUUGAUGACCUUUGUUUGUCUGUUAUAGGAUACCUAGCGUUCUGUUAUUCUGUGGUUUUCAGAGGCAAUGAGAUGCUAUGUGGACAAUGUCUUUUUACCAAGACAAGACAAAAUUAGGCAAGGCCAGGCACAGGCACACAUGCAGCAGAGCUGGGGCAGGGCUAUGCUAGGCCUGAGCUUAUGCAGAGACCCUGGGCUAGGGCUCAGGCCAGAGCUGGGAGCCAUGGUUAUCCUGGAAUUUGGUGGGCUUGGUUCUGAUGCUUGUUGCCCUUGCACCACCACCUGAGCCAGCACUGCCUCCCAGAGAACCUGGCCUGGAGAGAGGUCCCCCCAUCCUCACACCAUGGAGCAAUAGCCUCAUCCUCCUUCCUGGACACAAGGCACUGGCAGCAUGUACAGCCUGUGUGAAACUAAAUCACCCCCACACCACAGGGCCCCGAGGUGUGCAGAUGUGGGAACGCCCUCGCCUGGGUGUGGGGAGCAGUGGUGCUGCAUGGAGAGAAAGAGGGCUAUCCCCUAGACAAUUAUCCAUUCCCAUUUUAUGCAAUCCUUUGGGAUCAUCUUUGUCUGAGCCUCCAUCCCCAGCACAGCUCCACCCAAAUCAAGACAAACACUCUUCCCCAUGAGCCAGGGCCUCCAAUUUCAUCAUAAUUUGUCUAGGCAGAGAUGUCAAAAGUCAAGGACUGGUGGCUAUUGGCUGUGGAGGAACUAUGGAUGUCUUCCUCACCUUCAAGAUUCAGUGCCUGAAAGAUGAAUUGCUGCAGUAUGUCACACCCUCCAGAGCCUAGAGGAAUGAGGGAGUGCCCCCAGCCUAUUCCCACUAAGGAAUGGUUUUCUCCCUUGGCCAUCAGUAUCCAGAUGAAAAGACCACACAGGGACACACUCAGGGUUGCUGCAAAUGUUUAUCAAGGCUCAGGGGGAAAAGGACGUGACUCCAAGAGGAGGCCCUGAGAUCAUAGCACAGCAGGAGCAGACAAAAAUCUGUUCAGCUUUUCCAAUGGCAGACUUGCAACAGGGAAUCAAUCUACCUGGCUCACAUGGGGAGAGGAGCUAGCAGGUCUCUCCAGGCUGGUUUCUGAGGGCCUCAUGCAAAGCAGAGGGCAAGAAAGCAAGGAAAGAAAAAGAGCGUGUGGAAAACAGGUUAGGUAGACAUUGGCCAUGUUGUCAUAGACUCCGGGCUGGCCCCUUCCUGUCUGUCUUUACAGGACAAGACAGAGAUGGUCAGGUCCUCUCAGAACAACAACAUGAGGUCUCUUCUUCCAUCCAUUUUUGUCCAGCAGCAUGUUCUGAGUUCCUGGGGUCCUGGUCUGGGGC